GGGGACCUGGCGGAAUUGGUAGACGCAGCGGACUUAAAAUCCGUUGGGCUUCGCAGCUCGUGUGGGUUCGACUCCCACGGUCCCCACCA
rnacentral:tRNA from 1 species